AUUGAACGCUGGCGGCAUGCCUUACACAUGCAAGUCGAACGGUAACGGGCCUUCGGGUGCCGACGAGUGGCGAACGGGUGAGUAAUACAUCGGAACGUGCCCGAUCGUGGGGGAUAACGAGGCGAAAGCUUUGCUAAUACCGCAUACGAUCUACGGAUGAAAGCAGGGGACCGCAAGGCCUUGCGCGGACGGAGCGGCCGAUGGCGGAUUAGGUAGUUGGUGGGAUAAAAGCUUACCAAGCCGACGAUCUGUAGCUGGUGUGAGAGGAUGAUCAGCCACACUGGGACGGGGACACGGCCCAGACUCCUACGGGAGGCAGCAGUGGGGAAGUUUGGACAAUGGGCGCAAGCCUGAUCCAGCCAUGCCGCGUGCAGGAUGAAGGCCUUCGGGUUGUAAACUGCUUUUGUACGGAACGAAAAGCCUUCUUUUAAUACAGGAGGGUCAUGACGGUACCGUAAGAAUAAGCACCGGCUAACUACGUG
rnacentral:rRNA from 1 species